CAUAGAAGUCGUCUUCGUAUUCUUUACACUUUCAAAAACCUGAUAGAGUUAUAAUUUUCCGUAUGUCGUUGCCUGAGCAAAUUAGAUCACAGCAGAGUUCAAAUUCUUUAUCUUUUAAACUUAGUCAGGAAAUUUCGUAGGAACAUAAAAUAAGCCCCACCAUGAUAGUGAGAGUUUGCGAUACUAGAGUACCAUGGGCACUCACCCGUUUCUGAGAUCUUCAAAAACAUUAUCUAUGUAAGCUGAAUUUCCAAGACU
rnacentral:lncRNA from 1 species